CCAGGUACAUUUGAUCUAGCUAAUGAUUCUCACCCUCUCCAUUUCAUUCAUCCCGAAAUCCCCACCCCAUCUAUCCAUACCCUAGCCGCCAGUCUUCUCGUCUCUCUCAUCGGCGGCGGUGGUGUCCCCUCCCCUCCUCUCCUCCCCGCAAGAUCCUGUGCCGGCGUGCCAGCGCCUCCAUCCGUCUGACGGUGACGGCCUGACGGGCGAUGCGCUGGGCGGGCCUCCGUCGGCACGAGUUCCUCUCAGCCGGGCGGCCCUAGCAGCUCACGGCUCCACCAUCUGGUAGGUAGCCGGCGGCGGAGCAGCAGUGCCUUCUCCUUUGACGGGCAACACGCCCACACCACGUCAACAAGGCCCGCUCUUUGGCACCGCGACCCAUCUCUUCCCUUCGCUCCCCCAGCGCCCGCCGCUCUCCACGCGGUCGGCCCGUGCGCCGCCCUUCACGCUCUCCUGCCCAGCUGCAGAUCGAGUCCGGCUGGUGCGGCAGCACCCUCCCUUCCCACAACUUCUCUGUUCUUUCUCUCGGCCUCGGUCUUCCUUUCCUAGCGGCGACGACAGGGCGAGUUGCGCUGCCCGUUGUUCGUCGAGCGACGGGCGCUUCGCCGGCGACGAACAUCCGACAGGGAGGAAAUGUUGGCAGCAACGGAGGUGGAGAUGGGAUUGGAGCGGCGCGCGUACGCGCGGGUGGGGCUCCUUGGCAACCCCAGCGACGUGUACAACGGCAAGGCACUCUCCUUCACCAUCGCUGACUUCUCUGCCACUGUCCGCCUCCGCCCUUCACCCGAGCUGCUCAUCCAACCGCACCCGCACCACGAUCUCAUCGCCUUCCCCUCCCUGACCCACCUCGUAAGUCGUUUGCAAAGUGAAGGAUAUUAUGGAGGCGUUCGGCUGCUGAUGGCUAUCUGUAAAGUUUUCUACAAUCACUGUACUCAAAAUAAUAUCAGUCUAAAAGCUGAAAAUUUCACCUUAUCAUAUGAUACUAAUAUUCCUCGGCAGGCUGGGCUAUCUGGUUCAAGCGCGAUCGUUUGUGCUGCUCUAAACUGCCUUCUUGACUUCUAUGAUGUCAGGCAUUUAAUAAAAGUUGAAUUGAGACCUAAUCUGAUUCUCGAUGCUGAGAAAGAGCUUGGAAUUGUUGCUGGACUUCAGGACCGUGUGGCACAGGUUUAUGGGGGGCUGGUCUAUAUGGAUUUUAGCAAGGAGCAAAUGGACAAGCUGGGUCAUGGCAUAUACAGACCUUUGGAUGUCAAUCUGCUGCCUCCUCUAUACCUCAUCUAUGCAGAGAACCCCAGUGAUUCUGGCAAGGUCCACAGCACUGUUAGGCAAAGAUGGCUUAAUGGUGACGAGUUUAUAAUAUCAUGUAUGAAGGAAGUAGCGCAGCUAGCGCUUGAUGGCCACAGGGCUUUGCUGCAGAAGGAUUAUACUCAGCUUGCACGGCUUAUGAAUAGGAACUUUGAUCUGCGAAGUUGUGAUUGUAGGGAAAUGUUUGGAGAUGAUGUACUUGGUUCUGUGAACAUAAAGAUGGUUGAGGUGGCACGCAGUGUGGGCGUGUCAUCCAAGUUCACUGGCAGCGGGGGUGCGGUGGUUGCGCUGUGCCCAGAUGGCGAAGCGCAGGCGGAGCUUCUCCACAAGGCUUGCCAGGAGGCUGGCUUUGUGGUACAGCAGAUCAAAGUUGCACCAUCGGUGCUGUCGGAUGAGGAGUUGACAAGCUUAUCAAUUUGCUAGUUGAAUGAUCGAUGUCCUGUUGAGUGGUUGAAGCAACUGUUCUGUUUUGGAGUGGACAAAGGAAAGCGAUGGUUUUGGAUAACAAAAUAGAAGCUGUACUUGCCUUUGGGAUGCCGUUGUGGAUAUGAUGUAUAUAGAAACAUGCAAAGGAAAGCAAUGGUUUUGGAUAGCAAAAUAGAAGCUGUACUUACCGUUGGGGUGCCGUUGUGGAUAUGAUGUAUAUAAAACAUGCAUGUGCUUGCAUUUCUUCGCAUGAUGGGAUUGGGAUGGAGGCUGGAGCAGAUUAGAUAAUUAGAGCUGAGCAAAGGGAGCAUGUAAUGUUCCCAAUAGAGUAGAUUGACCUAGAUGAUGCCUUCAUUAUUUCUUAGCUGCAAAGGUCUAUUACAUUGUGUGAUGGUAA